GCCUAGCUGGCUCAGUCAGUAGAGCAUGAGACUCCUGAUCUUGGGGUUGUGAGUUCAAGCCCCAUGAUGGGGG
rnacentral:tRNA from 1 species